GUAUUUGCCAACACUGGGCCAGAGAACGUUGUGUUAUUGCAUUUCGCUUUUGUUAUCGUUCUGCGGCGGCGACGUUGAAGAAUUCCUAGCCGAUUCUUCUUCAUCCUGUGUAAAUAAUUGUAAUUUAAAUAAUAUAAAUUAAAUACGGAAGCACACUAUCAAAAAAAAAAAUCCGAAGGCGCAUCGCGAAUGCAGUCUGCUUUUUUAAGUGCAUGUUUUGUGUAUAUUUUCAUCAUUAAAACGACGUGUAAAUUAAAAUCAUCUUAAUUAUAAUUAAUAAACAAUCGCAUUAAACUAAAACGGAAAUUCCAAAAUUCUCAAAAUUAAAUCUGUGUAAAAAAUUCAAGUUUUUAACCAAUUCUUAUACGUAAUUAAAAUAAUAAUCAAGUUCAGUUCUCUGUUAAGUCAACCAAAAAGAAAA
rnacentral:sRNA from 1 species